UUACCUGGUUUGCUCAUCUUCCCCGUUUCUCUCCGUGACUCUCGACUUCCCCACUAGAAACGCACAUUAAAUAGAUGGGGGCAAAAUCAUCCACCUUCAUCAGCCGUAGAGGGAUCUGAUUCUCCCUCCGCCAUCUUCUCCAUUCACAUCAUCACAACAACAAUCGGGUGUCUGCACUGUUUCUCCAAAUUCGUUGAUUUCGCUCCCAGCGAGUCAACGCGAGUUGAAGCCCUUGCCGCCGUGAACAUGUGCUGGGCGGGACAAAUUGGAGCCCUCGCCGCCGCCGCCGCGCCGCUGCCGCGAACGCUUUCUAGGCAAACCCAAAUCCCUCUACAUGUACACCUUCAUCAAGCCAAACUGAAAACCCCACCGUGACUCAUCUCCUUCAGGUGCGAUGUUGUUGUGCUCUGGCUCCUCUUCCUGCCGCCGGCCUCCCCACGCCGGUCGUCAAAGCCGCUCCCUCAUGCCGUUCCUCGGCUCCGAGUCCUCCUUGCGGCGCGACAUCGGACGCUCUGGACGCGGUGGUGUCCCCAUCGCGACCCCAAUUAGUGCGGAAUCCAGCAGGAUGCCCUCAGGAAUGAGCAGGACGCCGGCGUCUCCCGCCGCCACCAUGGUCUGCAAGCCAUCCCCGUCGCGGCCCCGAAUUGGAAGGAGCAGUUUUUUUUCUCGGUUUAACAUACAACCAUGAUAUUUCUCUCGACACACCAGGUUGAACUUUGGAAGUAAAGUUUGUUUCACAUGCUAAGCUUUGCAGGUAGUAUUGAUAAAUGAUAUUCUUACCUUAUGAAUAAUAUUUUUUCUUCAUUCUGGGCAGGCUAAUUCAUACCCAGUUUAUGUUAUUUGUCGCAUUUACGAUCUCAGAAGAAACCUUUUAUCUUAACUUUACUCUCAACUGAUCUCUUAGUACAAAUAUCCGUUGCAAUGCACAGGGCGAUUGAAUUGAAGGAAGCUAUCAGUGUCAAAAUCCAAGCAGUUCGCAGCUCCUUUUCUUUGUGCACAAUUUUGUUAUCUAGACCAGAUAUAAUUUGACCACCGAUAAUCUCCUCAACCACUUUUACAGGUUGCGCAUGUCACUAUCUGUCCUAGCACAUGAUCAACAGAAUGUACUCAUAACAAAUCAGCUUGGCCCUGAUAUUUUGAUACUGAAAGAAACUUUGAGUCUGGUACAUGGUAUGCUUUAUCGUACGGAACGAAGAAACUUAUCUGAAAAGUAGACUAUUGCCUGCCUCUCUUUUCUUAUGAAGCUGUACGUUUUGGCAUGGCAAAUUGGGAUAAUCUGUUUGGUGAUUAUUGAGUUAAAUGUUUGCCUAUGUUGGUGUACAGCUGGUCAUCUUGCUGAUCUUGAUUUGCCAUCUCCUUUUCUCAGUCAGGUUUGAUGUAGAUUCAUAUAAAUAGAUUUAUGUAAAAUUACAGUCUUCUCAUGUGAUUUGCAGGACUACAUAUGGAGGCAAAUAAAUUUUCCAUGUAUGUUCUCCACAUUUGUGUAACAUUUUUAUGUCGUAUGGGGCUGGACCAUAGCAUUGAUUUCCUUUUAUUUGACCAUAUGAAUAUGAAUAGGUGGUGAUAUUGGGUUGUUCGUAGACAGGCAUCACUAACAGACAGUAGACUACUACACUUUUAAUGAGGUGGGUAAUAUAUAUCUUCCAAUUAACCAAAUCUGUAGGAUGUUAAUGGAAUUUGAAUAUAGUCCAUAUUUUACAUUAUUUAUUAUUAUGGUGUUUUCUAUAUUUUUUAUGUCUAGGUAGUGAUGCAUUUGCUAAAUAUGAUCUCAAAGGACUGGAUUGACACCAACACAAAUUUGUUCCAUCAUCUGAUGGCUUUCACUAUGGAAUAUUAGUGUAGUAGCUCUUUCUGAGAUCAUAUUUGUACUUGCAGUAGCAAACCGAUGUGUGAGAAUAAGCAACAGUGGCAUACUCAUUUUGCACAUUAUGAUUCCCUCUGGCUGCUGCUUUCUACAACAAUGAACUAUCCAUUUUGCUACUAUAUCAGCAAUGCAUUAUUUUCAUUGUAAGCGAAUCAAAGCAAUAAUUUACUGCAACAACGUGAAAUAGAUUGCAACCGAUUCCCGCAGCAACGCGCGGGGUAUCAUCUAGUUCCAUUAUGACCUAGGGGUCCAUAGUAGUAGCUAAAUGGCUCAUCAACCUUGCUGCCUCCAUGAUGAUAUGUGAGUAAUUUCAUUAGGACCUACGAGUCCAUAGUAGUAGCUAGAUGGCUCUCUCUCUUUUUGGAUCUUCAACACCAUGUUCUCAUGAGCCGUCUCACAUUACCGGGAUCAAUUCGAUGUAAUCUGUGGUGUGUUUGUUGGGACAUGAUGAAUUGUCACUUUAUGAUUAGAUUGUUCAUUGAAGUCAAUGGAAUCUUUUGAGAUUUAUUUGCUGCAUAGUUAAAUAGCUUUGUAAGCUC